GAGAGAGAGAGAGAGAGAGAGAGAGAGAGAGAGAGAGAAAGAAAGGGAGAAAUUCAUUCUUCAAAGCCUUUCAAAGGUCUCCAUAGAGAAGGGGAUGUAUGUCAGUGCUACAAAGCUUGCCUAGUAUGUCUGAGGCUCCGGGUUUGUUGUACCCAGUUUGCGGGACCCCAAAAAGGCUACCAAGGAACCGACUCACCAAUGCAAAUGCACAAGGUUUAUUGUUAAGCUACAAGCUUAGUCAGGGACCCUGUCCAGCAAACUGGAGCAACAGCUACAGGAAAAGGGCGCCUGGCCUCAAUUACAAUGGGUUUAUAAAGAAAAAAACCACAAGCGAGGUGCUUCGUGCCUCGGCUGUUCAGGACUGGGUAAGAGUAGGUGACCCUUGGAUUCAUUAACUGGGGUCUAGGAGAAUUUCAAAGUUGUUGCUAACAGUUGCCCACAAGGACAUUUGUGGCUAGCAUAUGUUGUUUAUCAGAGUUAGUCAUUGUUUGUCAUUUUGGACCUGGGCAGACACAGUUUGUGGGGGUUGUUUUAUAUAUAUAAAUGUUAUUUAAAUUAGAAGCAAUCUUAUUUUACGUAUCAAUCCCAGGUCCCUCUGUCUCCCAUCCUCAUAUGACCCCCACCGACCCCCCCCAUUCCACUCCCAUUACCUCUCCAGGGAGGGUGAAGCCUUCCGUGGAGAAUCAUCAAAGUCUAUUACAUCAUUUCAGGCAGGACCUAGUCCCCCCACCCCCAUUUAAUGUAUGCUGAGAGACUAUUCUCCAUAGGUAAUGGGCUCCCAAAGUCCAUUUGUGCACUAGGGAUAAAUACUGGUUCCACUGCCAGAGGCCCCAUAGACUGCCCAGGCCUCCUAACUGACAACCACAUUCAGGGGGCCUGGUUUGGUCCUAUUGGUUCCCCAGCUGCCAGACUGGGGUUCAUCAGUUUGUAGUUCUUUCUUAGAACUGUUUAUAGCUCCUUGACUGGAGUUGAAUCAGCCUUGUGCCAUGCAGGGAAUUUCUCAAGGUGGCUUUUUCUUAGGGUGGAGUUUACCCUGCUCUCUCAGGUUCAACGCAAAAGUAGAGCAGACUACUGAAAAUAAAUAAAAAUAAAUAAAUGUUGGAUGCAGUAGCAGAUGUUCUCAAAAGACUGCAUUCUCAUAUUCAGGUGACAUCUUUGGUCCAGCAUUCAUUUUACUAUUGUGCCCUUCGAGUAUGUAUCUAUUAAUUUUCGAAAAAAAUCUCAGAGUAAAAUCUUUAAAGAGAGAACAGCUAGAUGGCUCAGUGCAAAGCAGUGUUUGUCACCAGGCCUGAUUAGAUAGAUUUGAUCUCUGGGACCAACAUGGUGGAAGGAGAGAACCAAGUCUUGCAAGUUGUCCUACGUCAUCUACUCCUGUACCAUGGUAGGCAUGCCCUACCUGCAAACAUCUUGCUGAAGACGAAGAUUUUUAACACAUGGGUCACUGGGGGAUUGUCUAAACCCAAACAACAGCCAAGAGAAAAUAGACAACCUAACUGAUGGGUUUUCUGUAGUUACCUUCAUGCUAUUAUGAUUGUCUGAUUUAGUGAGCAUAUCUUAUAAGAGGAAAGUUUCAUGAGAAUGGAGAGAGUUAAGCAGUGUGCUGCUCUUUCUAGGAUCCGAGUUUGCGCCCUUCAACCCACAUCAAGAGACUCUCAGCCACCUGUGACCCCAGCUCUGGGUGAUCUGAUGCCUCUUAUUAAGGAGGUAGCCAUUCUAAGAACACAGGUGUUUCCUUGAUACUUCUUAGCAGGGAAAGCAGUCAGACAACACAGGCAUAGGCAUUCCUCGUGGUAAUAACCUGGGGAUAUGGGUUAUUUUUCUGAUUUUUAUUUUCAUCAGGUUUUGAUUGUGGUACAGCAGACAGGUGUGGAGGAGAGGAAUAAGAGGAGAGGAGGCAGGUAAGCAUGCAGGUAAACAAGUUUUCGAGUUAGCAUUGAUCUGAUUCGAAAUGUAAUAGAAUACAUAAUAGUUUAUCACUAGUUUAGCUACAAUCUCAAUGUAACAAACAUUGCAAGAAGUUAAAGAUCCAACUUCAAAAACCACAGAAGCUGGAAAAAUGAAUGGAAAAGAAAGGGAGAGGCAAUAGUUUUGUCUUGUGUUCCAUGGCUUGGAAUUGAACUUGCGGCAAAUAGGAUGUGAGCGACUUAGUUAAAAACUACACUUGGAAGCAGCAGCAGGGCAGGCGCUGGCGAAACCAGAAGUCUCACCAGGCUGCAGCCGGAAAGGCAGAUUGAGGGGUGGCAGGGCCACAAGCAGUAGUGAAAAUGUCAGUGAGCUCAGGUGCAGCCUCUAUGUGUCCUGGAAAGCAACAGCGGCUAAUAGAGUUGCUGCUCCAGCAGAGGACUCAAGUUUGGUUCCCAGUGCCAGUGUCGUGUAACUCCAGCUGCAGGGAUUAAACCUCCUUUUGUUGAACUCUUUGGGCACACCCAGAGACACAUAAAUGAAAAUGAUACAUAAAACUUAAAAAUGAAAUGCUGUCCACGAACAAAACGGCCGGCCCAUCUCAGCGCCCCUGCCCACGUGGUUGUCUUGUUCAUCCAAGGUUUCGAUAUGCUGUUUCUGACAUCCAGUGCUGGUGAUUCAGUCCGCAGUUACAGUUGCCAAUAUGAACAAGCAAACCAAAACCUCAACACAUUUCCGCCCCCUACUGGUGACUCUAAAUACAAAACAGAAAAGGAAGUUUUGGACUGUGCCAGGGAAGCAGGAUUGACAUGGAAUUCUCUAUGCACCUGGCCUGUGUGACUGAUGUGCUUGAUACCCACUUCCUUCCCCACGCAGGUGAUUCUAGAACGUCCUCUCUUUCAAACGGAAGUCGUCCACAGAAGACUGAGACAUAGAAAGCGAAUGGCAACAGCAUAACUGCCAACCUAAAAGAUAAAACUAUUCGAUUAUUGCAGCUUCUCCUAUUGUUUUAUUAAAACAUAAAUCUUUGGAGUCAGGUAAUAGGGAAUAAACCCGAAAGAUCCCUGGAGAAAUGGAGAAAUGAUCGCCUCAUGCUCUUCUCCAUCUCUGCCAAGUGAAAAAAGCCACACAUCCCGUUCAGCCCCUCCUUAUUCCACCUGAGCGUCCCUCCGUCUUUCUCUGAGUCUGCCAGGAAAGUGUAUGGUCCACUCCAUCCAGCUGAAGGUGGACUCUGGCCUCCAAACCAAUGUUCAACUCCAUUGGCCAUCUUGAAACGACAGCAUGAAGAAAUCUCCUGCAACACUGGAUAGCAGUUUUUAAAAUAGAGGCCAUCUCUGAAGGAACUAAGGCCGUCUUCACUGAAGCACAGCCAUGUCCAGACAACUUGGACCAUGACUCCAUGGAUCAAUGUUAAAACUCUGAACUUUUGAAGUCUUAAUAGAACAAUAGUAUAGGAAUGGAGAGAGAAAUAUGAAACAUUUUUUAGAUUUUUAAUAGAUCUCAAAACAUUUUCUCAGACCCUCACGAUUUGUAUCAGCUUUCUUGGACCUUAGUAACUUUCAUUUACAUAACUUACGUGACUUUCUUAGACCAUCGUAACUUGUUUAAGCUGUUAUAUCCUUAGAGCUUUACAUUUUGCAUACUAAUUCACCUUCCUAGAUCCCUAUAACCUUUAUAUAAACUCUAAUUUUUCUCCAGUUAUUUAUUACAGGGCAUAGGUGGUUGAUUACUGGUUGAAAAGCAUUUGUUUUGAAAUAAAAGAGUAGUAAAAUUACAUUGAAACAGGUUUUGUAAGUUGACCUCUUCUAGUGUGGAGCCUGACAGCAAGGUAAACUAUCUAAGUUUGCAUUCUUUUAGCAUAAGAUCUAGCAGCACAGGGAAAAGCAAGGCCUGGCUUUUGCUGAUGCAGGGCAUUUAUCAAGCAGCUGCAGCCAUGGGGGGGGCUGAAUGCUUGCUGUUUUUAAUGAAAAAUAGGCACAGUUAGCCAGAAACACCAUCAGAGAUGUUUUGAACAAAUUUGAGCAGGAAAAUACAAAGAGGCUAGACAUAUAUCCUUAAGUUGGGAUUUACAAACCUUAUUUAUCAAAUAUAUUUUGUUUAUUAAACAUACGUUAUUUUUAGCCACAAUUUUUAUUUUUGGGACAAAAGUCAUAUAAAAAAAUCCAUCCUAAUCCAAAAUCUCUUGGAGACCUGCUGUUGCUUCCUUAGUCUAAAAGAGGAGAAAAUACGAAACUGUGUUUUAGGUUACAUAGAAGCACACAGUAGCAGAUUAAGAUUAUCCAUGUAUAGAAUUUUAGUAAUUAAACUUUUUAAACAAGUGUUAGGAUGACUUUAUUGUUUGGAGUUUUAAAAGUCACUCUCCACCACACAUUGGUCUUACAGGUCCUGAGAGAAAGAAAGGUUACAUUCUAGCCAGAGUUUUGAAUAUCCAUGACCUCUAAUGGCUAAACAUCGAUAUAAGCAAGGACCAGGAAAGUCGGAAGAAGUUGAAGAGCUGGACAUAUGCUGGUUACAUUUAGCUAGCCUAACUUUUACAUGAAUUAUUUUUGAUAAAAUCAUUUAAGUAACAUGAGACACAAUGGUAACAAAUACAUUACCAUUUGUUGUAGGAAAUUUUACCUAAGGGGGUGUAGACACUAUCUAGAGCCUUUGCCCAGUAUAUACGGCAGCUUGCGGUUGUUCCACAGACCGUCUUCCUCAUUCUUUGUUCUUUUCCUGUAUAACUCACUUUCUCCAGAAAACACUGGGGCAUCAUGCAAGUAGGCCCUAAUCGUGUACAUUCAGCUGGGAGGGAUGACUGGAUACCUAGAUCAAGGUCCAAUGACAUGGUUUGUCCCCUUUUUGAAGGAAUAUUAACUUUUAGGAAGACUAGCUCUGACUCUUAUGAACAGGCAUAUCUAGAGUUUGCAAAGACAUUUUAGACAGAUUUUAUUUAAUUUUAUACCUAGUCUGUGUGUGCCUGGAGAUUGAGGCAGACAACCUGAAAAUCUUAGAAAGAAUUUUUUUUCUUAUAAAGUUCUCAAGUUGCAGAAUAAUGUAAGUAUCUGUAACCUAGAGGCCUUUAAACAGAAAACUAUAAAAACCAGACAUCUACAGAAACUCAAAAUAUGUUGACAUCAGAUUGUUGUUGCUUUUGAAUUGAUUUUGAACCAUAUUUAAUAAGUGUAUAAACCUGAAAGAACAGAGAGUUUAUAUUUUCAUUUUAAA